rnacentral:lncRNA from 1 species
UCCUUUGCCUCCUCCUCUUCAGAGACGGCAAGCAAUUUGAUCUAUUAUCUGUUAACUUCUCUGGGAAUAUUUUGAGCCUGCUCACCUGAGUCCAUUGCAUCCAUUAUCACAUGGGUGAAGUGUUUGUCCUCUGCUUCAGGGGCCAGAUGUGAUUCUCACAUAGAAGGGAGUUUGAGCCACAGCAGCCUUGGAGUCGGGAUAGCAGGUGAGAAGAUGCAGUCAACCAGCCCAGCAUGGAAGUCCCAAGAGAGCAGGGUACCUGGGACUCAAGCCAGAGGCAAGUCAAGACAUCACCCAUGAUGUCACUGGUCUUCUUCAAAAACGAAGGAUGAAUAAACAACAACGAGGUGCAAGGGUAGGGGAAAAA